rnacentral:lncRNA from 1 species
GGACCACGUGGCUUGGAUUCUUUCUUUUGGAAGUUUACUUCUUUAAUUUGGCUCACUGUAAUGUAGUUUAGGACCUGACGAUGUGCUUUUGUUAAUGACAAUAAAGCACUACAUUUGUAAAUCCAGAAUUUGUAGUGCUCUAAUGUUUGUAUUCUGAAAUCCAUGGAAAUAUGAUGCGUGCAUGCACAUUUGGUCUUCAUCCUAAAAUACCUCUUAAAUAAUGAUUAUAAGUGAGGAACAAAAAGUGAAUUUA